GGCCAAAGGGAAGAAGCCUCUGUUUGUGCAGCUGGUGCUGGACAACAUUUGGAGUUUGUAUGACGCUGUGGUCACCAGUAGAGACAAGGACAAGGUGGAGAAGGUGCUGUCCUCUCUGGGGGUGAAGGUGAUGUCAAGGGACUCCCGGCACUCUGACCCCAAAGUCCUGCUGUCUGCCAUCUGCAGCCAGUGGUUACCUGUGUCCCAGGCUGUCCUCGCAAUGCUGUGUGAGAAGCUCCCCAGUCCCUUAGACAUCACUGAGGAGCGGGUGGAGAAACUGAUGAGUGUCGGAGCGCGGAUAUUUGACUCUCUGCCCGAGCAGACGCAAGAACUGA